rnacentral:lncRNA from 1 species
GGCUCACUGCAACUUCCACAUCCCCAGUUCAAGCGAUUCUCCUGCCUCAACCUCCCAGGUAGCUGGGAUUACAGGUGCACACCACCACGCCCAGCUAAUUUUUGUAUUUUUAGUAGAGAUGGGGUUUUACCAUGUUGGCCAGGCUGGUCUUGAACUCCUGACCUCAAGUAAUCCACCAGCCUCGACCUCCCAAAGUGCUAGGAUUACAGGCAUGAGCCACCACACUCCGCCUACUUCUCCAUUGAAGUGCUCUAGUUUUGGUAAAAUCUUCUCCUUGACUUCAGGACCCUCUCCACAUUUAUCCCCAGUCUAUAACUCGCAUAUUUCGUGUUUUCAAACAGAAAACCGUAAUUCAGGAGUGAACAGCAUCCUCUGUAAGGUGUCACAGGAGCAGCCUGAAAUCCAUUAGGCAGUCAUUCUGAAGCUGUGGUGAAAUCGAAGGGAAGCUAAUGUUGCAGCUAGGAAGAUGAGAUCCAGGCUGAGGAUCACACUUUUUCCAGAAUACUUUUUUAGUGUUUCCAAAGCCAGCAAAAGCCGUUUAGAAGUCUCAUCUCCAGAAUGCCAGAAUACACAAAUGAGUCCUGUGCACUUAUCUUGGGGGAAACAUUGUUCCAUUCUUAGUAACAUGCCUGUUUGGCCUGUGGUCUGAGGUACUUACAACUUGCUGCAGUGUGGUAAAUGUGUCCCUUUUGAAACACUGUUCUGGGGACUUCAGAGAUGACGGACUGCAACCUACCACCUCAUAAAUGAGGGAUCUGAGGUACAAACUGGAACCCGGGUCUUCUGGGCUCAGAGAACUCUCCUCACUACAGCAGACUGCCUGUUUCCAUUUAGGGGAAUGAGAUGCUCUUUCAUAAAUGAUACCAAGUGCAAGAGAACUUAAGGCAGCUCCAAUCGAAGACUGUCUUGGCUGCUUCUGGAAACUACAGAUCACUACUCCCGAAGUCAAAAACGACUAGAACACAGCUUAAAAAUCAAGCCAUUUAAUUGUAUCUUUGAAGGUAAACAAUAUAUGGAGCUGGAUCACAACCCCUGAGGAUGCCAGAGCUAUGGGUCCAGAACAUGGUGUGGUAUUAUCAACAGAGUUCAGAAGGGUCUGAACUCUACGUGUUACCAGAGAACAUAAUGCAAUUCAUGCAUUCCACUUAGCAAUUUUGUAAAAUACCAGAAACAGACCCCAAGAGUCUUUCAAGAUGAGGAAAAUUCAACUCCUGGUUUUAGAGAUAAAUGAAUGAAGAGUACCAAAAUAUUUGUUGACUUCUCUUCAUUUUUCUCAUACAAUCUGAAGCCUGAGCUGACUAUCAUAUCCCCAACUCACAGCAGCGAAAGCUGCAGUUCAGAUUUGAGAUCAGUCUCCAUUCACUUCCACGUAGCACCACAGCAAGAGUGACCGGAGGCAGAGAGCUCUUGUUGGGUCAGCUUUCUAAUAAGCAUGUCAAGUGAAAAAGAACCCUCUAGCAGCACACUGAUUUAGUUUGUAAGAUUUUAAUUUACAAAUUAAAAAAGCUAUUUAAUACAUGUUUUACUUUUUCUCCUUUUUCUCCUCUUUCUUUACAUCACUCUUUUCCUUAUCUUUAUCUUUCUCCUUGUCCUCUUUCCUAUCCUUUUUGCUCUCUUCUUUCUCCUGCCCUUCUUUCUUCUCUGCAUCCCGGUUGGCAAUCUUGUUGUUGAUGAGGUUGUGCAGGGCGACCACGGAACGGAUCAGCGAGGCCAAGUACACUACCACCAUCUGGUCAUUGGUCUUCAGGUAAAAGGCCUUGACGAACUCCUGCAGGCUGACAUCUGGCAGCAGGUUGAAGACGUCCUGCAGCUGGUAGAUGAUCUGGUGGUUGAUGGGCAGCUUGCCUGUGGCGACUUUUUCCAGGUAGCUCCUGAUAUCCAGAAGCUUGGAGUUCAGUCCCUUCAAACCAUGGACCUGGUUUGUGAUCCGCUGGGACAGAGUGCCCACCGUCGUGUCUUUGAUAUCUCUGUAAUAACCCACAGUUAAAAAGGGCAGGAAAAGGCAUCAGGGUACCAUGUUAUCAGGCAAGUUCUUACAUUCUAAGAAAAUUCCUAGCUUUGUUGGGUG